GUAAUAACUAAAGCUCAUCAUCUGUUGCUAUAGCCCAGCAAAAAGCUCAUCUGUGAUACAAAACAUGCAGGUUAUUUGCUGCUCAAUAGCAAUGAUGUUUAUAGAAGUCCCUUCUCUUAAUUCCAUAUCCACCUUGAAGCAAACAAAUAAAUAAUCACGAGUCCCCUCAAAUAGAAAAAAAAAUUAUUAUGAGAUCAAAUUUUGAAAAGGACCAUCACUGAAGUAGCACAUGCAACACCCAAUCCUUUUAUACUUUGAAGAUUACCUGAAAUAAGUGUGCCAUUCUAGCUAGAUGUAGCAAAACAAGAAGAUUAAAUCUCAAUUGGUAUUUCAGAUUAUUGACCAGCCAAAAAAGAACAUUCGAAGGAGGUGCAGAGAUAAUUAAUACCUUAAGGAGAGUUACCAGCUGCUGACAAGAGGCAUGUCAUCAGGUUGGUCGAGUUGUUCAUUUCAUUUUUGAGCUACAUUCUACUCCCUCCAUCCCAAAAUACUAUUCGUUUUAGCUUUUUUAAAUACAUAAUUUUUGUUAUGUAUCUAGAUAUAGAUAUAUAUCUAGGUGCAUAUCAAAAGCUAUGUAUCUAGAAAAGUCAAAACGAAUAGUAAUUUGGGACGGAGGGAGUAGUACUGAAUAUCAGUAUUUAUUUUCUUGUUGAAAUGCAUACCUGAACUUUGUAUUUUGUAACAUUCACUAAGGAUAAUGUUUAAUAAAAGGAGUAGUGAUUAAGGACAUCAAAGAGGUGAGCAUAAGGCAUAAAUUUACCCAAGAAAAAAUCUACCAUGGAGCAUCUGUCCCACUUGUGAAAUUGGUUGAAGUGUGUUAAGCACCAUGGUACCGCAAUCUGCAUGUUGAAUAGGAUAAACAAAAGUCGUAGGUGUGGCAUAUACAAUAAGCUAGGCAUGGAGAUCAAGUCUUUAUUAUGUUCAAAGAGAUUAUAAUCUAUCUCAAGACCCUUAUCUAGUUACAACACGCUGGUAGUCCAACUCCAACUCUAACACAUUAGAUAUUUCAACAGUCCCACCCCUCAUUGACAACCUGCACAAGUUGAGAUUGUUUCUGAAUUAUUGCAUCUUGUGCACCGACCAUGCCUUGGUGAACCCAUCUGCAAACUGUUUAUUAGAAGGAUAUGAUCAGAUAUCAAGCAACUUUCUACAGUCAGACUCUUUGGUUCCAAAAAUUAAAGAGGAGGCAAGAUGCUGGACUUUGGCAGGGGCCAAGCAGCUAGAUGCACUAAUUGCGCAUGAGUAACUCUAUUCUUUAUCAAUACAAAAUCCGGCAAGUCUUUCUGGUUUUUCUUUUAAAAAAAGGAUAUCAAGCAACUUUUGAGCAGCCAUUUCUCCGACAAAACAAUAAUGCACUUCAAUAUGUUCUGUCCUAGCUAGCAUGAAACAUUGGAUUAGGCAAUAAAUAGUUUGGUAUAAUACUAUCACACAACAGCUGCAGUUGAGACACCCCUAAUUUCUCUAAGGAGCGUUUUAUCCAUAUUAUUUUGUGAACCGCCACUGAUUUAUGAAGCACCACUGAUUUAUGAACCACCACUGGUUGCCCUUUUGUGGUAGUGCAAGCAUCAGAUAUUUCAACACCACUCAAGACUCUCAUGAUUUCACUUUAAGGUGUCCCGAGUUGUCCAGACUCCAGAUCAUACCUGCAGGAAAUAUUGCAUUUAGAGUAAUUCAUGUGCAACAAAGUGUGUUUUUGGCAAUACUUCUUGCGUGUAGUGUAGAACGUUGCUCGCACAGCCGGCCUGACGAUUGCCAUUAUAUUCAGUGUAGGCUGUGCUACUAUGCUUACGAUAAGCAUCAAUCGUAUGAUUGACAACCAUUGUUCUCU
rnacentral:lncRNA from 1 species